CAAAACUCGGGGCUCCUCUCCUUAGCCGCUGUGUCGGUAACGGUGGGAGCCCCAGCUCGAGCUUGGUAAUAAAAACUCUCUUGCUUUUGCAUUGGAUACCAGCUCCCUGGUGGCCAUUGGGAGACUUUGGGACUUGGGCAUAACAUUUGGGGGCUCGUCCAGGAUCUCCCACCGGCUCCACGGGAAGACCGAUCCGAAGAAUCAUCUGCAGCCGUGUCUGGAGAAAGGGUAGACUUAUGUAGCCUCGUGGCCAUCAGCGGUGAACUCCAUUUGGUUCUCCACUUAGAGUCUCACAGGCGGAAAUCAAGAUGUCGGUCGGUUUGCGGGCCCAGGAUGGCAUCUCUGAGGAGGUGGUGCCAUUGGAGCAGAAGCUAGCUAUGUGUCUGGAAGGGGAAGGGCAUUCCAGGAAGAGGGAGCUGCAUACACAAAGGUGGCACCAGUGAUAAAGAACCCGUCUGCCAAUGCAGGAG